rnacentral:lncRNA from 1 species
AUAUUUAAAUGCUAAAGCAAGAGAAGAAUUAUCCAGACAUGUUUUUUGUGUGUAUCAUGUGAGAAGUUAGGAGUGGGACAAAGGCUUUCAUGGUUGAGUUGACUUUUGCAAAGUGCUGCAGAUACGAAGUACUGAAGGGAAGUUCCCUGGAAUUGGGGCAUGUUUUCCUAUGGCUUUUUAGUGUCAUAAUAUUAAAGUCUUGUACUGCCCAGUAGUUAUCACCUAAGGACAUUUCACUGGAAUACAACUGCAGGGAAGCAAGGGAGAAAUAAAUGGAGGAUAUUUUCCAAAGGCAACCUUACUAUUUUUCAGUAUUUUUGAAACUUUAUCUCUGAUCUUUUUAGAGAAAAGAUGGACAAUUUAUACAGAAAACUAAUGAGACUCUACCACAAAAUUCAAUGAGGGAGCAAAAGACUUCAUUGAAAUGGUUAAAUUGUAUUAUGUGAAAUGUGUAGAUUUUCCCCUAUGGUGUAUAAUUCAGGUAAUUUAAUAUUAUUAGUAUAUGAUAACAUAUCUUUUUCUUGCAUUUUAGAGAAUGA